rnacentral:rRNA from 1 species
UAGUCCAUGCCGUAAACGAUGAUUACUAGCUAUUAGCGAUACAAUGUUAGUGGCAAAGCGAAAGCAUUAAGUAAUCCACCUGGGAAGUACGGUCGCAAGAUUGAAACUCAAAGGAAUUGACGGGGGCCCGCACAAGCGGUGGAGCAUGUGGUUUAAUUCGAUGAUACGCGAGGAACCUUACCAGGGCUUAAAUGCACAUUGACAGGACUGGAAACAGUUUUUUCUUCGGACAAUUUGCAAGGUGCUGCAUGGUUGUCGUCAGCUCGUGCUGUGAAGUGUCGGGUUAAGUCCCAUAACGAGCGCAACCCCUAUCUUUAGUUGCCAGCGAGUAAUGUCGGGGACUCUAGAGAAACUGCCCGUGCAAACGGCGAGGAAGGUGGGAUGACGUCAAAUCAUCGCGGCCCUUACGUCCUGGGCUACACACGUGCUACAAUGGCGUGAACAGAGAGUAGCGAGACCGCGAGGUGGAGCCAAUCCCAGAAAUCACGUCCCAGUUCGGAUUG